UGCCUUAGUAACGGCGAGUGAAGUGGCAAUAGCUCAGAUUUGAAAUCUGAUGUUCUUUAUGAAUGUCCGAAUUGUAAUCUGUAGAGGAGUAUUCCGAGUAUAGCUUUGGCUAAAAGUGCUUUGGAAAAAGACAUCAUAGAGGGUGAGAAUCCUGUUAUGGCUUCAGCUUUAUAUUCACUGUGAAUCUCCUUCAAUGAGUCGAGUUGUUUGGGAAUGCAGCUCUAAAUGGGUGGUAAAUUCCAUCUAAAGCUAAAUAUUUGCAAGAGACCGAUAGUGCACAAGUAGAGUGAUCGAAAGAUGAAAAGAACUCUGAACAGAGAGUUAAAUAGUACGUGAAAUUGUUGAAAGGGAAGCACUUAUGACCAGACGCACCUGCAUUUAAUCAAUUAUCAGUUUUGGUGAUGCACUUAAUUGUAGGUGGGUUAGCAUCAGUUAUAGUGAUGGGAAAAGGAUCAAAGGAAUGUGGCUCUCUUUCGGGGGAGUGUUAUAGCCCUUGGUCAUUGUACUGUCUAUUAUAACUGAGGAUUGCGCUUUGGCGAGGAUGCUGACAUAAUGGUCAUAAGUGACCCGUCUUGAAACACGGACCAAGGAGUCUAACAUCUAUGCGAGUAUUUGGGUUUCAAGCCCUUAUGCGUAAUGAAAGUGAAUGUAGGUGGGAACCGCAAGGUGCACCAUCGACCGAUCCUGAUGUUUUCAGACGGAUUUGAGUAGGAGCAUAGCUGUUGGGACCCGAAAGA
rnacentral:rRNA from 1 species